GCCAGUUCAGCAGUCUGAGGAGGGACUGGGAGUAGCACAACUGCAGCUGCUUCCCAAGAAGGAGAGGGCCACUACUUGGGUGGCAUGAUGGGAAAUAACACCUCCCACAGAAAUAAUAUAAAGACAAAAUCUGAGAAGAUUACAGACCAGGAAAAUGACCGAGAGAAGGGAGGACUUGUAAUCUACCUGAAAAGAGACAAAGCUACUGUCAAGGUAGUCUUGCUGCCUCCUCUUGGAAAACUAUCUCAUGGCUCAAAAAUCCUCCCUCUGUUCACUCUCCCCCUGGGAGGCAGGGUGCACAUUUAUGGACGACCAGAAGUGAGGGGCUUCCGUAGAGACAAUCCCAGCGCCUCAUUGACAUUUCCUCCAGCAGCACAACAUGGAGCAGGAGACUGUCAAAUCCAGAAGAAGCCACGGUAUCUCACGUUGUUCUUUUUGGUUGAGGGGGAGAAGCAAACGGGAUUCGACGGAGAUUCCUCAUUUGCCAAGAAUAAAAGCAAGCAUUGGUACACCAUACAUCCAAUAGGCAUGAGGGGACAACGUGGGCUGUGAUUGGCUGAUGUGAUCAAAGCAAAGGGCAAAAGGAAAACCUCCAGAACAUGGGAAGGCAAUAAACCAACUCAAGCAUCACAAA